UUCUUAAAGCUUCCAUCAAUGGCGAUGAAUCCCAUCUCCCCUCUGGCUUGUUUUUCGUUUCUUACCUCAAUCAACCAGAUCUUGUGAGAUGGAUAGAAUGUUCAAAAAUCUAGGGUUCAAUGUCAGAACUGCAAGGUGAAAAUGAAGAUUACAGUUGAUUUGAGAUCCUCCCACGAAGAUUCACAAAUAGAUUUGAUUACAAGACCCUAAAAUCGUUCAAGAGUAGACUUUGAUCCAUUCAAGUGAUAAAACUGCUACUCGAUUUGCCAUGUAGACCAGACACCAAACUACCAGGGUUGGUGACGAUGGGCUU
rnacentral:lncRNA from 1 species